UAAGGUUUAAUUAGCAAAGAUUCUCUCCUGCUGUGUUCAAGCAUGACAAGUUAAGUCACCAGCUCGCACCGUCCCACAGGCACAGCAUUGUUGAUGUAACUAGCUAAAACAUGUGGGAGGUGCAUUAGUCUCAACCGCAGGCGCGGCGGCGGCCAUACUCCACCCCCUUUCUUUGCACUGGUGCCGAUAUGCAUGUGACCGACUACCAAACCAGUUGGCACAGUUGGUGCAGUGAAAAGGCUGGGAGGAGUCCGGAGCUACAUCCGGUCUGUAAAUGAUCUUUCGUGGUUUGGAUGCCACCUCCAGCGCAUUCAAUGACAUGGCAAACUGGCUAAUGUGACCAGUAAGAAUGAUCACAAUGUGUAGGAAUACCAGAACAUUCACGUUUGUAUCAAUCGUCGAGCUUCUAAUGCUUCUACACAAGCAAGCAUUUGGUCCCGCCAUGACAAAAGAGCAUCCUAUUCUAUGGCAGGUUCUGGCAAGGAUUUAAAUGAUGCAAUCAACAAAGUUCGGUAGCCACGAAACAACUUCCCAAUAUUGAAUUUGCAGCCAUGUGAACUUUAUACCAUGCUGUACACUUCCGGACACUUUCCCCUCUUGCUGCCCAGAAGUCAAGUGAACGUGGACAAUUUGCAACACCAAUAAGAAACGUCACUGCGUUUAGCACUAUGUGAUUGCUGUGCAAAUUGCACCAUCUGGUACCUCCCAGCCCCACCUUCGUCGCUGCCGCUGCUACUCCGUUGCUAAUUCCCCCCGCCGCCGUGCCUGCUGUUGAGACUAAUAGCCCUCCCAGCCCCACCUUCAUCGCUGCCGCUGCUACUCCGUUGCUAUCUCCCGCCGCCGCCGCACCUCCUGUUCAGAUUAAUGCAUCUCCCAGCCCCACCGCCGUCGCUGCCGUUGCUACUCCGUUGCUAAUUCCCGCCGCCGCCGCGCCUGCCGUUUAGGCUACUGCACCUCCCAGCCCCAACACCGUCGCUGCCGCUGCUGCUGCAUUGCUAUUUCCUGCCACCGCCGUGCCUGCCAUUUAGGCUACUGCACCUCCCAGCCCCAACGCAGUCGCUGCCGCUGCUACUCCGUUGCUAAUUCCCCCAGCCGCCACGCCUGCUGCUCUUGCUAUUUCCCCCACCACCAUGCCUGCCGUUAAGGAUACUGCACCUUCCAACCCCACCUUCAUCGCUGCCACUGCUGCUGCGUUGCUAAUUCCCGCCGCCGCCGCGCCUGCCGUUUAGGCUACUGCACCUCCAACCCCACCGCCGUCGCUGCCACUGCUGCUGCGUUGCUAAUUCCCACCGCCGCCACGCCUGCCGUUUAGGCUACUGCACCUCCCAGCCCCACUGCCGUCGCUGCCACUGCUNNNNNNNNNNNNNNNNNNNNNNNNNNNNNNNNNNNNNNNNNNNNNNNNNNNNNNNNNNNNNNNNNNNNNNNNNNNNNNNNNNNNNNNNNNNNNNNNNNNNNNNNNNNNNNNNNNNNNNNNNNNNNNNNNNNNNNNNNNNNCCGGACGCCAAGCGUCAGAGGCUGGACACGGCUGCGUCCCAGAGCAGCACGUCGACGGUCGGCCCUCCCGCCGUCGCCACGUAAGCGAGCUGCUACAUGCAAAGAGCGUGUUCACACCAGUAAGGUACUUACGCUCCGCCUCUCACCGUGCGAAAUAGACGCAUCUAUCAGCUCCGGCGCGCAUAUUUGGCCGCUGCCUGUUAAGCACAGAUGUCUUCCGUCACGUUCAUCGCCGCUCGCAUGCACCUUGAAUAUCGUGUAACGCUCCCCAUUUGACGCCCCUUUGCAACACGUAGGGAUUCAAGGAGCGUCACGUUUCAUGUGACGUUUACGGCCGGCCCCACAGAAACGAAUGAGGACCGCCUCUUUGCCGGCGCCCAGAGCCGCUACGGCAGCUUCAUCGCUGGCGUGAAUACCGCCGGCCAGGGGAUAGUAAUUAUGCAGAUUGACGAUGUCAUCCUCGGCAGGCUGGAGAGCAGCCACGCGUUCGGCCACCGCGUGACGUUCGCCAAUGUGGAUGCAGCUUCCCUGCCGCCUUUCAUAACUUCUCGUUUCGCUGGGGUGACGGUGGGGCAGUUUAAAGUCUCCUCAGCGACGCGGAUUUCCGUGGAGCCCUCCUCCGCUGUCCCAAUGCUCUACAGCGCCAGGCUUCGGUUCCCCGUUUACGAUGUCGGCAGUGACAGGGCUCGCCCCGAAGACAAGCACGCGUCAGAUGGCAGCGCCCUCCUGCUCAUCCCACACGGCGGGAUGUUCCGGGGCGGGCCGUUCCGCAAGUUUAAGGCGUGNGUCGCGUGCGGCAACGGUGACAGUCCCGACGCCGGACGCGUGGAGCUCGCCAUCAGGGAAUCCGCUCCCGACGACUUCGUCGCUCAGCUACAAGCAGCGGCCGAUAGCAGCACGCCCCUUUACGUGUAUGNNNNNNNNNNNNNNNNNNNNNNNNNNNNNNNNNNNNNNNNNNNNNNNNNNCCACGCCUGCCGUUUAGGCUACUGCACCUCCCAACCCCACUGCCGUCGCUGCCACUGCUGCUGUGUUGCUAAUUCCCGCCGCCGCCGUGCCUGCCGUUUAGGCUACUGCACCUCCCAGCCCCAACGCCGUCGCUGCCGCUGUUGCUGUGUUGCUAUUUCCCGCCGCCGCCACGCCUGCCGUUUAGGCUACUGCACCUCCCAACCCCACUGCCGUCGCUGCCACUGCUGCUGCGUUGCUAUUUCCCGCCGCUGCCGCGCCUGCUGGACUUGCAUUUCUGGACUGGCGAGAAUUUUGAAAAUUUUGUUUCACCGAAAUGGCAUCCCUGGAUCACACUUGCGAUUUAUUGUAUGUGCUGCUACUACUACUACUACUACUACUUGUAUGUAUAUAGUAGUACUGGUACUACCCUUUAGUAUAAUAGUAGUAGGUAUAUAGUCAGAGAAAGAAAAAUGACUUCCAUGCCAGAGUUGAACUGGCAGCCACAGCAAUACCAAAAUAGUGUUUGUAUGUUCUCUGUGGCUACAUCACUUGGAAGAGAGUGAAAAGAGAAAAGAUUGGAUGGCCAAUUGGAUGUGGCCCAUUUUUGUAAAAUAAAGGCCCUCCCUAAUGCACCUCCCAGCCCCAACGCCGUCGCUGCCGCUGCUACUCCGUUGCUAAUUCCCACCGCCGCCGUGCCUGCUGUUGAGAGUAAUGGCCCUCCCAGCCCCACCUUCGUCGCUGCCACUGCUGCUGGGUUGCUAAUUCCCGCCGCCGCCGCGCCUGCCGUUUAGGCUACUGCACCUCCCAGCCCCAACACUGUCGCUGCCGCUGCUGCUGCGUUGCUAUUUCCUGCCACCGCCGUGCCUGCCAUUUAGGCUACUGCACCUCCCAGCCCCAACGCAGUCGCUGCCGCUGCUACUCCGUUGCUAAUUCCCCCAGCCGCCACGCCUGCCAUUUAGGCUACUGCACCCCACCAGCAUGCCUGCCGUUAAGGCUACUGCACCUUCCAAUCCCACCUUCACGCCGCCACUGCUGCUGCGUUGCUAAUUCCCGCCGCCGCCGCGCCUGCCGUUUAGGCUACUGCACCUCCAACCCCACCGCCGUCGCUGCCACUGCUGCUGCGUUGCUAAUUCCCACCGCCGCCACGCCUGCCGUUUAGGCUACUGCACCUCCCAGCCCCACUGCCGUCGCUGCCACUGCUGCUGUGUUGCUAAUUCCCGACGCCGCCACGCCUGCCGUUUAGGCUACUGCACCUCCCAACCCCACUGCCGUCGCUGCCACUGCUGCUGUGUUGCUAAUUCCCGCCGCCGCCGUGCCUGCCAUUUAGGCUACUGCACCUCCCAGCCCCAACGCCGUCGCUGCUGCUGCUGCUGCAUUGCUAUUUCCUGCCACCGCCGCGCCUGCCAUUUAGGCUACUGCACCUCCCAGCCCCACCUUCGUCGCGGCCGCUGCUACUCCUUUGCUAAAUCCUGCCGCCGCCGCGCCUGCUGCUGCGUUGCUAAUUCCCCCCGCCGCCGCGCCUGCCGUUUAGGCUACUGCACCUCCCAGCCCCACUGCCGUCGCUGCCACUGCUGCUGCGUUGCUAAUUCCCACCGCCGCCACGCCUGCCGUUUAGGCUACUGCACCUCCCAACCCCACUGCCGUCGCUGCCACUGCUGCUGCGUUGCUAAUUCCCACGCCGCCACGCCUGCCGUUUAGGCUACUGCACCUCCCAACCCCACUGCCGUCGCUGCCACUGCUGCUGUGUUGCUAAUUCCCGGCGCCGCCGUGCCUGCCG
rnacentral:lncRNA from 1 species